rnacentral:hammerhead_ribozyme from 1 species
GCCCUGCUGAAGAGUCCCAAACAGGACGAAACAGCUGUCCAGUGC